rnacentral:rRNA from 1 species
UUUGAGGAUUUGAUCCUGGUCCAGGACGAACGCUAGCGGCGUGCUUUAAGCAUGCAAGUGGAACGGUCCGUCGCAAGACGGAAAGUCGCGAACGGCUGAGUAACACGUAGGAACCUACCCUUUGGUGUGGAAUACCUCCGAGAAAUCGGAGCUAAUACCGCAUGACCCACGUUCAGUUACAUGAACGUGGAAAAGGAUAUAACUAUUCACCGAAGGAGGGGCCUGCGGCCUAUCAGCUAGUUGGUGGGGUAACGGCCUACCAAGGCUACGACGGGUAGGGGACGUGAGAGCGUGAACCCCCAGAAUGGCACUGAGACACGGGCCAUACACCUACGGGUGGCAGCAACUGGGAAUCGUGCGCAAUGGACGAAAGUCUGACGCCGCGACGCCGCGUGAGGGAUGACAGCCUUCGGGUUGUAAACCUCUUUUAUUUAGUCCGAGAGGACUUUUUGAAUAAGCACCGGCUAACUCCGUGCCAGCAGCAGCGGUAAUACGGAGGGUGCAAGCGUUGUCCGAAUUUAUUGGGCGUAAAGAGUUCGUAGGCGCCCCGCCGCAUCUUAUUUCAAAUACCAGAGCUUAACUUUGGAAAGGGAUAAGAGAUGGGCGGGGUUGAAGAGCGUGGGGGCUACUGGAACUUACGGUGUAGGAGUGAAAUCCGUUGAUAUCGUAAGGAACACCGAGGGCGAAGGCAAGUAGCUAGGCGCUAUUUGACGCUGAGGAACGAAAGCUAGGGGAGCGAAAGGGAUUAGAGACCCCUGUAGUCCUAGCCGUAAACGAUGCUCGCUAGGGAUCCGCCCUACAAAGAACAGGUUCUUUACGUGUUUUUUGUAGGGUAGGUCCCGUAAGCUAACGCGUUAAGCGAGCCGCCUGGGGAGUACGAGCGCAAGCUUAAAACUCAAAGGAAUUGACGGGGACCCGCACAACCAGUGGAGCAUACGGGGACCCGCACAACCAGUGGAGCAUGUGGUUUAAUUCGAGACGAACCGAAGAACCUUACCUGGACUUGACAUCUUGCCGUUUUAUUCUGAUAGAAAUAUCGGGAGAUCCUUCGAAAGUUGGAUGGUAGGACAGGUGUUGCAUGGCUAUCGUCAGCUCGUGUCGUGGGAUGUUCCCUUCAGUGGGGUAACGAGCGCAACCCUCGCCGUAUGUUAAAUUGUUCAUACGGGACUGGUCGCCUUUGGCGACAGGAAGUGGGGACGACGUUAAGUCAGCAUGGCCCUUAUGUCCAGGGCAACACACAUGCUACAAUGAAGCCGACAAUGGGUUGCCAAGUGGUAACACGGAGCUAAUCCCAUCAAACGGCUUCUCAGUGGGGAUUGGGGGCUGCAACUCGCCCUCAUGAACGCGGAAUUGGUAGUAAUCGCGAAUCAGCUAAGUCGCGGUGAAUACGUUCUCGGGUCUUGUACACACCGCCAUCCGUCAAGUUAGUGAAGUUGGUAGCACCCGAAUCCCGAUAGUAUCGGGGCAAGGUGAGACCAGCGACAAGAAUUAAGUCGUAGGGGCGAGCAUGAACAAGGUAUCCGUUCUGGAAGGAGCGGAUGGAUCACCUCCUU